rnacentral:sRNA from 1 species
GUGCGUUAGGGAUAGUAGUGGAAAUCCUUUUUGUUUUUGAAAUUACAAUCUAUUUAGAACCAUCUUUCAAACAAAAAGAUUGAAACGCAUAGCCCGACCUUUA